UACGUAGGGGGCAAGCGUUGUCCGGAUUUAUUGGGCGUAAAGAGCGUGUAGGCGGCUAGAUAGGUCCGUUGUGAAAACUCGAGGCUCAACCUCGAGACGUCGAUGGAAACCAUCUGGCUAGAGUCCGGAAGAGGAGAGUGGAAUUCCUGGUGUAGCGGUGAAAUGCGCAGAUAUCAGGAAGAACACCCGUGGCGAAGGCGGCUCUCUGGGCCGAUACUGACGCUGAGGAGCGAAAGUGUGGGGAGCGAACAGG
rnacentral:rRNA from 1 species